rnacentral:rRNA from 1 species
AGGCAAUGAUGCAUAGCCGAGUUGAGAGACUGAUCGGCCACAUUGGGACUGAGACACGGCCCAAACUCCUACGGGAGGCAGCAGUAGGGAAUCUUCCACAAUGGACGCAAGUCUGAUGGAGCAACGCCGCGUGAGUGAAGAAGGGUUUCGGCUCGUAAAGCUCUGUUGGUAGUGAAGAAAGAUAGAGGUAGUAACUGGCCUUUAUUUGACGGUAAUUACCUAGAAAGUCACGGCUAACUACGUGCCAGCAGCCGCGGUAAUACGUAGGUGGCAAGCGUUGUCCGGAUUUAUUGGGCGUAAAGCGAGUGCAGGCGGUUCAAUAAGUCUGAUGUGAAAGCCUUCGGCUCAACCGGAGAAUUGCAUCAGAAACUGUUGAACUUGAGUGCAGAAGAGGAGAGUGGAACUCCAUGUGUAGCGGUGGAAUGCGUAGAUAUAUGGAAGAACACCAGUGGCGAAGGCGGCUCUCUGGUCUGCAACUGACGCUGAGGCUCGAAAGCAUGGGUAGCGAACAGGAUUAGAUACCCUGGUAGUCCAUGCCGUAAACGAUGAGUGCUAAGUGUUGGGAGGUUUCCGCCUCUCA